UGAAACAUUUUCAUCACAGUUGAAAUUUGAUUUAAUAUAAAUGGAAAAACAAAAUGUUUAUAUAGUAAUUUGUAUAAAAGUAGGAAAAAAUACAGGUAAAAUUUAGAAAAACAAUUUUUAUACAUAAAAAAAGAAAAUUGAUAAAAGAAGCUGAUAAUGUCAACAAGAGGCCCACGGGCCACAUCGCUCACCUGAGAAGCUUUGACCAUUCUGUUCUUUACCAGAUUUCCCCCUUGUAAUACAUUAUUUUCAGCUUUUCUGGCCCAGUGGUUCUUCAGAAGAAGAUUUUCAAAGAUUUUUCCUAUAUAUUUCUAUGUAAAACUUUGAUUCCCAAUU